GCUGGACCAGUGCACCCCAAAAUUGAUGGCCUUGACCCAAUCAAGAGGAGGAGCUGCAGGCAUGAAUAUAAGACACAUUAAGGACAUGCUCCUUGAGGACAACAUGGUUGAAAAGUGGAGAGAAAUUGCCAUUCGCUGCCUCAUAGUCGAUCUUGGAGAGAAGGAAGAGGACCUUUUCAAACAGUACUGCGAUGUGGAGGAGCUGGACGAAGACCUCUCCAUGCAUGUGAUGAAGAUUGCCAUCAUUGGUAAUGGACAUGCAACCAUCGUCAUUGAGGGAAACAAGAUCCUGCAGGGGAUUGAUGUCGCCAGAUCCUGUGCCUUGCUCAUGGGAAUAAUCUAUGCUCUUAAUCUUCAUCAAGACCAAUCUUCAGAGCAGAGUUCAUCAACCUUGCUUGAGUGAGAUGCUUACAUCACAAACACUCACACCUGCUUGUUUUUUAUUUCUGCCUGUGUUCUGUGACGGUGUUAGUGUAUUUGCUGUUUGCACUUGUAAGGAUUUAUUGCCACUAAGGAUUUAUUGAUGUUAACUUUAAUAAAUGUUUCUUAUAAAUGUGA